GAUGAACGCUAGCGGCAGGCUUAACACAUGCAAGUCGAGGGGCAGCACGGGUAGCAAUACCUGGUGGCGACCGGCGCAAGGGUGCGUAACGCGUGAGCAACAUGCCCUAUACAGGGGGAUAAUCCAGGGAAACUUGGUCUAAUAUCCCAUAGCAUUUAGAGGAGGCAUCUUCACUAAAUUAAAGCUUCGGUGGUAUAGGAUUGGCUCGCGUGACAUUAGCUAGAUGGUGAGGUAACGGCCCACCAUGGCUAUGAUGUCUAGGGGUUCUGAGAGGAAGACCCCCCACACUGGGACUGAGACACGGCCCAGACUCCUACGGGAGGCAGCAGUGGGGAAUUUUGGACAAUGGGCGAAAGCCUGAUCCAGCAAUGCCGCGUGCAGGAAGAAGGCCUUCGGUUGUAACUAGCUUUGUUCAGGAAGGAAAUACUUCUGGGCUAAUACCCCGGGACGGAUGACGGUACCUGAAGAAUAAGACACCGGCUAACUACGUGCCAGCAGCCG
rnacentral:rRNA from 1 species